CCCAGCAAACAUUGGUCCGACCGCAACGUCGUGUCCCUGGCCAAAAAUAGUUGCGGUAUGACGGCACAAAUCGGUGAAAAUAUGUAACACAGAACAUUUCAUAAAAAUGCAUUCAGAUACAUUUGUACAUGUCUAUAGUUCUAUGGGGUUGCAUGUAUAAUUGUUACUUUGACUUUUACUACGCGUGCUUCAAUAUUUAUACCCUGUUGUGAAUCGGUUGUAAGAGGACGUCACUAGGUGACGUCUUUUACACGUGCAUUUAUAGUCCAUCAUGACCCUCUAUAAAAAAUCAUAAACCUUCUAUAAAGUCAUUGUGAAAUAUGCAAAUGCUGUGCUUACACCUUGGUUAAUACUGCAAUAAUUAAUUUAAGUGCAAAAAGUAGGUUUUUAAGAGGUUGUGAAUAGACGUCCACUGACAUCUUUUACACGUCUAGACUAGACUAGUAGGAAAAAAACAGGAUAAUCUUUAUGAAAUACACGAUUUGUAUACAAAGUAAAUAUAUUAACUUUAUCUUGUUUAAAUAAAUUAUAAUCACAAAGUGCCCAGUGUGAUUGCAAAGCCACACUGCAUUUUAGUCAUUAUUCCAACCUGUUUUAUUAUUGAAUGUAUGCAUAUAAAUGUAAAACAGAUACAUAUCCGGUCACCAUUUAGGUCUGAGUUGGAUGUAAUUUCAAAAACUGUGCUAUUAAUUUAAGAAAUAUAGUGAUAAAUCUGGGGAUAUUACAAAAUCCCGCGAUAGGACAGAUUAUCUCGCGAGAUAGUGGUGACGUCACGCGUUCUUCCGGAAGUUCACAUUCAAACACGAGGAGCGAUUACGAGGGAGUUUUGUCUAUAUAUCAUUCAAAAUCUACUGUUGGGAAAAGCAGAACCUCAUCCAAAUAAAAAUAAACAAGCUGUUAAAGGCACUGUGUCCUACACAGACCCUCCAAAAUAUAACCACCCAAAACCCAAGUCAGUUGAAGGUCAACACAAACCAAAUAAAGAUGUGCAUUCUACAAACAAUAAAAAAGAUCAAGUUUUGUGUCCACCACACUUAGAUGAGGCGUGCCCGACCCCUGACUUUGUCUACCCUACAUUAAGUUGCACACUUCAUGACAGUAAACAUCGGUAUCACAAUGGUGUGAUUGAUCUAUACCCUAGAAUAAGCUGUGACACUAUGAGACGUGAGGUAACACAACGAAAAAAUUACCUGAUGGAGACUACCUGAUUCUUCACCUAUGGCCUCAGCUUCAAAUGCAACAUGUAAGAAAUGCUAUAUGACUGUGUAUUGUGCAUUAUGAAAACAUCAAAUAUGUUGAUAACAAGGUGAUCUGCGUCCAGCAACUGUCUGAGUUGGUGGAUAUUCUGUCAGAGACUGCGUGAACAACGUUAUGAAUAGAAUGAUGUCAAAUUGUCUUAUGGCAAAGUUCAAUAUGAGGGGUGGUGGACAUCUGGAAAAGAAGUCUUUUAAAGGCACACCUUUGUAUUAUGUUAUUCAAGAUGCUGUGAAGAGGUAGAGCCCAAAUGCCACAGACUCGGAAAUAGAUGCAGCUAUGGCAGACCACCUCAAGCACGCUCCAGGAAGAGCUGGGGGUGGUGGAUACAAAAAAGCCAAACAGCUGUGAUGUGUUAAAGAGAGAGUUCACCAAAAAAGGAAAAUUGUUAUAAUUUUCUUAUCCACAUGUUUCAAACCUGUAUACCUUUAUAUUUUCUGCUGAACACAAAGAUUGAAGAAUGUUUGUAACUUCACAACCAAUUAACUGUCAAUAUUUUUUUUACAAUUGUAGUAAUGGGUUGUGGGAUCUGCUUUGUUAAAAACAUUCUUUCACAUAUCUUUGUGUUCAGCAGAACAUAGAAGGGUAUACAGGUUUGAAACAUGAGAGGGAAUAAAUGACUAAAUAUUAAUUUUUGGGUGAACUAUCCCUUUAUAGAAAGUGUUUUGAAGUUGUUAUUAUAGUUAAAUGGUUAAAAAAAAUAAAAAGUGCUAAAUCAGAA